rnacentral:lncRNA from 1 species
CUGGAGUUUAUGGUCUGUGAGCUGGCUGCCCUCCAGAGUCUGACACAAUGUCUGGAGCACCCAGAGCAGCUGGAAUUCAUUUUCUUCCUUCAAAUCUAUGCACUUUCAUAUGAAGUUGUGUUUUGGCACUGCUGCAUAAGAAAGAGUUCAGUGCAAAAAGUCUAACCCCAGCCAUGUUUCUCUGCAACCCAACGCCUGCUGAGCAAACGACAAAAAAAAAAAAUAGAGAAGAGGACAAGGAAAAAAAAAAAAGAAAAGCCCUUUCCCUUCUCCCACACAUACACACACGACUGUACCAAAUGGGUCUAUUCAUGGCUGCUCAUAAAAGGGUCACAAGGAGAAAUGUUUGCAGAUAAAACCAACACAUUUUUUUUUUCUUUUAAACACACACCAUGGAGGCCUCUGGAAGGAGCUGGAAACGUUCGAGCAUCAAAGUCCUGCUGCUCCCUUCCACCUCCUGCUAGCACUGCUCCAUGCAGCCCCACGAGCAGCCCCUUCAGCUGAUUGCUGGGGUCCAGACCCCUCGAGCCGCCUCCUCCGAACCAGAGCUGCUGGGAGCCUCAGGUCAUGGUGGGUUGGGAGCAGGAGGGAGAUGUCCAAGGUGCUCCUGGGUGCCCUCGUCACAAAAUUGCACACUGGAGUUUGUGGGAGCCUGUGGCUCGAUCCCCUCUCCAUUUGGUCUUUUUCUUCUUCUUCUGGCUUUUCUCUGGGAUCUGUUGCCUUAUUACCCUUACGAGAUCAUGGAAGGCCUUGUCAACAUUUAGAGGUGGGUCCUUGGCACUAGUUUCUAUAUAUGGAAUAUUAUGUUUUGUUGCCAUUUCUCUUCCCUGUUCUCUGGUAAUUUUCCGUAAAUGCAUUAGAUCAACUUUGUUUGCCACCAGAAUCAUUGGAAAGGACUCCCUGUCUUUGACUCUGAGGAUCAGCUGGUGGAAACGGUCCACGUGCUCAAAGCUGGCCUUGUCUGUCACAGAGUAGACUAUAAGGAAACCAUCUCCAGUCCUCAUGUACUGCUCCCGCAUCGCGCUGAACUCCUCCUGGCCUGCCGUGUCCAGAACAUCAAGAAUUGCCCACUGCCCGUCUAUUUCUGUGUGCUUCAGGUAGGAGUCUUCAAUAGUUGGGUCAUAGUCUGGCACAAAAAUCUUCUGGAAAAACUGAAUGGUGAGAGCGCUCUUCCCCACGCCGCCAUCUCCAACCACCACCAGCUUGUAUGUGGGGAGGUUUUCGCUGGGAACAGCGCUGGUAGCCAUGCUUCCACUGCGCUAAACCGUGGGCAGCCCGCGGUCCCGAACCGAGCAGCGCGGAGCUUCCUCCGGGGCCCUUUCUUCCCGACGCUGUCUCGGCCGAGCAGGGCCCGGCGGGGCGGCUCAUGCCCGAGCGGCGCUCCGCAUCGCAGCGCUGCGGGGGGUGGGAGAUGGGUUCCGCUCCGGGCUCGUUUACC